rnacentral:lncRNA from 1 species
UGCAGUUUCUGUGAUCCUCAGCUUCCUGUCAGGAGUCACUGACGUGUCGCUGCUUAUUGCAGCCUUGCUGCAGCCACAUCCUGGCCUGUUUUGCCAGCAGCAGCAGGCAGAGCGCUUCAGUUACAGCUUUGUGGCACCAGCAGGCCUACUGCAGCAGUGUUUCCUUUCAGCAGCAGCUGCACAGCAGAACCUGCUCAAGCUCAGCCCAGCAGUCGGUGGCAUGAGGCUCAGUGGUACCAACACAGCCAAGCAAGGCUGAGGGCAACGGUUAACUUUCAGGAUGUGAUUUACUCCUCUCACGGACUCUGCUUGCAGGCCCUACAGAGGGACCCCAACAGGCUGGAUUGAUGGGCUGAGGCCAAUGGGAUGAAGUUGAAGACCAAGUGCCCGGUCCUGCACUUUGGUCACAACAACCCCAUGUAAUGCUACAGGCUGGGGGCAGAGCAGCUGGAAAGCAGUGUGGAAGAAAAAGGAUCUGGGGGUGUUGGUCAACGCUCAGCUGAACACGAGCCAAAAGCGUGCCCAAGUGGCCAAGAAGGCCAAUUGCAUCCUGGCUUGCAUCAGAAAUAGCACAAGCAGCAACAGCAGGGAGGUGAUCGUCCCCCUGUAUUCAGCUCUGGUGAGACUGCACUUUGAGUGCUGUAUUCAGUUUUGGACUCCUCACUACAAAAAAGACACUGCAGCCCUGAAGCACAUCCAGAGAAGAGCAACCAAGCUGUUUACAGCCCAGCUACUCUGAGAGCCUCCUUCUAUGCUGUGUCACAGAACAGACCGCAAUAACGCACAUUCAUCAUCCACGCUGCAGUGCACACAGAAGGAGCUCUCCUGCCAGGAGGGGCUGUACUGCAGCAUGGCACUCGCCCAGCAAUCAGUGCAUUGAAGCUGACCUUUCUGUAAGCGUUACAUCGGUGAGAGGCUGCAAGAUGUGGCGUUCAACUCGCUUCUGUAUGGCUUCUGGUUGACCUCAUCCCCCGCUCACCUUUACACAAGCAGCUUCUGUUGACUGGAUGAAAAGGGAACGUGUUGCACAGCUCUGGGUACCUCCUCACUGCCCUCCCACGAGAGCUGCGUUAAUGACAAGGAGGGAGCACAGAGAUCAGGGGGCAUAUGUUCUGCCAGUGGCUUUGUCAGCUCACAGACUCACCUUCAGAUUGGAGAGUGCUGCUCACAGAUGUGGAUGUGAAGGCUACUUGAGCUGUGCUUCAAGCGUACAUAUUUCAAUAAUGCCAUAUUAAAUGACCACUGCUGGUUGAAGCAUACAAUAUAUCCGAGCUUCCACUUAUUUCUAAUUACCCUGAUUUUACUGGCAAUAUUUUGAAUGGACAGAUGGCUGUGUUAGCUGCAAAGCAUUCAUUAGUGAGAAAUGCAAAAGCA